UGAGGUCACUGUCUGAUUCUGAGCUG
rnacentral:piRNA from 1 species